AUUGAACGCUGGCGGAAUGCUUUACACAUGCAAGUCGAACGGCAGCACGGACUUCGGUCUGGUGGCGAGUGGCGAACGGGUGAGUAAUGUAUCGGAACGUACCCAGUUAUGGGGGAUAACUAACCGAAAGGUUAGCUAAUACCGCAUACGCCCUGAGGGGGAAAGCGGGGGACCGUAAGGCCUCGCGUAAUUGGAGCGGCCGAUGUCUGAUUAGCUAGUUGGUGAGGUAAAGGCUCACCAAGGCGACGAUCAGUAGCAGGUCUGAGAGGAUGAUCUGCCACACUGGAACUGAGACACGGUCCAGACUCCUACGGGAGGCAGCAGUGGGGAAUUUUGGACAAUGGGCGAAAGCCUGAUCCAGCCAUUCCGCGUGAGUGAAGAAGGCCUUCGGGUUGUAAAGCUCUUUCGGCAGGGAAGAAACGGUCUAGGUUAAUACCUUGGGCUAAUGACGGUACCUGAAGAAGAAGCACCGGCUAACUACGUGCCAGCCGCCGCCGUAA
rnacentral:rRNA from 1 species